AGCGCCUGGCAUUCUGGGGUGUGCAUGCGGUGGCGCAACGCAAAACAGAAAAAAAAAAAAAAAAAAAAAAAA
rnacentral:ribozyme from 1 species